GGAUUGCCUCAGUAACGGCGAGUGAAGCGGCAAGAGCUCAAAUUUGAAAGCUGGCUCCUUCGGAGUCCGCAUUGUAAUUUGCAGAGGAUGCUUUGGGUGCGGCCCCCGUCUAAGUGCCCUGGAACGGGCCGUCAGAGAGGGUGAGAAUCCCGUCUUGGGCGGGGUGUCCGUGCCCGUGUAAAGCUCCUUCGACGAGUCGAGUUGUUUGGGAAUGCAGCUCUAAAUGGGUGGUAAAUUUCAUCUAAAGCUAAAUACUGGCCGGAGACCGAUAGCGCACAAGUAGAGUGAUCGAAAGAUGAAAAGCACUUUGAAAAGAGAGUUAAACAGCACGUGAAAUUGUUGAAAGGGAAGCGCUUGCGACCAGACUCGCCCGCGGGGUUCAGCCGGCAUUCGUGCCGGUGUACUUCCCCGUGGGCGGGCCAGCGUCGGUUUGGGCGGCCGGUCAAAGGCCCCUGGAAUGUAGUACCCUCCGGGGUACCUUAUAGCCAGGGGUGCAAUGCGGCCAGCCUGGACCGAGGAACGCGCUUCGGCACGGACGCUGGCAUAAUGGUCGUAAACGACCC
rnacentral:rRNA from 1 species